GUUUGGGGCCAAAAAGCCCAAUUUCCCAAUUCAAAUCUCAACCGAACGCGGAGCCGCGGUAACCGCACGGCCCAGAAACGAUUCCGGAGAAGCACCACGACGCAUACCUCAACUCCAACUUUCGAACGCAGUGAAACAAGAAAAAAAAAACGGGGAAGCAACAGUGAAUCUGAUCCUCUUCAGAAUCGAAAACUCCUUGCGCAAGGAAUUGAAACAAAUCCAAGGAAGGAAGAACCUACCGAAUUCGAUGUAAGCUCAGGGCGAUGCGUUCGCUAUUCUUCAAUCGUUGCAUGUUGAAUCAUUCCUCAAUUCUUUUGUCGUUGUUCUUAUUCUAAGAUGAAGAAUGUUGCAUUGUGGAUUGAGUUGACGCUGAAGACAAGUGGUCCGGCUUCGUGCGCGUGAACUAGUUGGCCAUGGGCUUGGAGUGUUGGUUUGAAGUUCAUUACUCGCUUGGAGUUCUUGGGAUCUAUUGGAUUCAUAAUUGUUGUGUUAGAUGUUUUCUUGUAGGAAAGGAUGUAAUGCAUGAUUAUGGUUUUGACAUUGAACUGGAAUGGCAUGUGCGUUAAAAUGCUGUAUUAUUGUAAUGAGAUGAAGUAUUGUAUUUAUGAAUGUAUUAACGAGGUAAUUGAAAAUUGAAAUGAAUGAGAUGUUAUUAAUGUAUAUA